rnacentral:rRNA from 1 species
AAGNAUGCCCAGUAGCGGCGAGUGAAGCGGCAAGAGCUCAGAUUUGAAAUCGUGUUUCGGCACGAGUUGUAGAGUGUAGGCGGGAGUCUCUGUGGAGCGCGGUGUCCAAGUCCCUUGGAACAGGGUGCCUGAGAGGGUGAGAGCCCCGUAGGGUGCUGCGCGAAGCUUUUGAGGCCCUGCUGACGAGUCGAGUUGUUUGGGAAUGCAGCUCCAAGCGGGUGGUAAAUUCCAUCUAAGGCUAAAUAUUGGCGAGAGACCGAUAGCGAACAAGUACUGUGAAGGAAAGAUGAAAAGCACUUUGAAAAGAGAGUGAAACAGCACGUGAAAUUGUUGAAAGGGAAGGGUAUUGGGCUCGACAUGGGGGGUGCGCACCGCUGUCUCUUGUAGGCGGCGCUCUGGGCGCCCUCUGGGCCAGCAUCGGUUCCUGCUGCGGGAGAAGGGGCUCCGGAAAGUGGCUCUUCGGAGUGUUAUAGCCGGGGCCAGAUGCCGCGUGUGGGGACCGAGGACUGCGGCUUCUGUCUCGGAUGCUGGCAUAACGGCGCAAUACCGCCCGUCUUGAACAACGGACCA